rnacentral:rRNA from 1 species
UACGGAGGGUGCAAGCGUUGCUCGGAAUUACUGGGCGUAAAGCGAACGCAGGCGGUUCAUUAAGUCGGGCGUGAAAGCCCCGGGCUCAACCUGGGAAUUGCACUCGAUACUGGUGAACUUGAGUCUGAGAGAGGGAAGCGGAAUUCCCGGUGUAGUGGUGAAAUGCGUAGAUAUCGGGAGGAACACCAGUGGCGAAGGCGGCUUUCUGGUCUGCUCUUGACGCUGAGGCGCGAAAGCUAGGGUAGCAAACGGU